CGAGAUCGUUUUGAUUUUAGCG
rnacentral:miRNA from 1 species